CACCGCCUGGGGAGUACGACCGCAAGGUUAAAACUCAAAUGAAUUGACGGGGACCCGCACAAGUAGUGGAGCAUGUGGUUUAAUUCGAAGAUACGCGCAGAACCUUACCAACACUUGACAUGUUCGUCGCGACUCUAAGAGAUUAGAGUUUUCGGUUCGGCCGGACGAAACACAGGUGCUGCAUGGCUGUCGUCAGCUCGUGUCGUGAGAUGUUGGGUUAAGUCCCGCAACGAGCGCAACCCUCACUUUUAGUUGCCAUCAUUUAGUUGGGCACUCUGAAAGAACUGCCAGUGAUAAGCUGGAGGAAGGUGGGGAUGACGUCAAGUCCUCAUGGCCCUUACGUGUUGGGCUACACACGUGCUACAAUGGCAUUUACAAUAGGAAGCAAGAUGGCGACGUCGAGCAAAUCCUAAAAAGAUGCCUCAGUUCGGAUUGUACUCUGCAACUCGAGUACAUGAAGCUGGAAUUACUAGUAAUCGCGGAUCAGCGCGCCGCGGUGAAUACGUUCCCGGGUCUUGUACACACCGCCCGUCACACCAUGGGAGUUGGUUCUACCUUAAGGCAAGGUUUUAAACCCUUGACCACGGUAUAGUCAGCGACUGGGGUGAAGUCGUAACAAGGUAGCCGUAGGGGAACCUGCGGCUGGAUCACCUCCUUUCUAAGGAAAUCGAAAAAUAUUAAAACAAUUAUUUUCGAUUUAAAAAAAACCGGUAAUGUGACCGUCCUCAUUUCUCUUCUUUUAAUGUCUCUAAGGUAAAUCAAGGGGGCCGGUAGCUCAGUUGGUUAGAGCACACGCUUGAUAAGCGUGGGGUCGGAAGUUCGAGUCUUCCUCGGCCCACCAACAUACCAAAAAUGGGGGAUUAGCUCAGCUGGGAGAGCGCCUGAUUUGCAUUCAGGAGGUCAGCGGUUCGAUCCCGCUAUCCUCCACCAAAAUUUGAGAUAUUUAGCUUUUUUAAAUUGUGAAUAUAAUUAAUAUCAAUAUCUAUAUCCGAUUGUUUUCGAAUAUUUUAUUUGAGAACAAUCAAAACAAAAAUUUAAUUUAUUACAGAAAAAAGUUUUUUUCUG
rnacentral:sRNA from 1 species